CCUACGGGCGGCAGCAGUGGGGAAUAUUGGACAAUGGGGGAAACCCUGAUCCAGCGACGCCGCGUGAGGGAAGAAGUAUCUCUGUACUUAAAACUCCAUCUGCAGGAGAGAAAAUGACGGUACCUGACUAAGAAUCCCCGGCUAACUACGUGCCAGCAGCCGCGGUAAUGCGUAGGGGGCAAGCGUUAUCCGGAUUUACUGGGUGUUAAGGGAGCGUAGACGGCAGCGCAAGUCUGGAGUGAAAUGCCGGGGCCCAACCCCGGAACUGCUCUGGAAACUGUGAAGCUGGAGUGCAGGAGAGGUAAGCGGAAUGCCUGGUGUAGCGGUGAAAUGCUUAGAUAUCAGGCGGAACACCGGCGGCGAAGGCGGCUUACUGGACUGUAACUGACGUUGAGGCUCGAAGGCGUGGGGAGCAAACAGGAUUAGAUACCCCAGUAGUC
rnacentral:rRNA from 1 species